CACGUAGGGCGCAAGCGUUGUCCGGAAUUAUUGGGCGUAAAGGGCUCGUAGGCGGUCUGUCGCGUCGGUAGUGAAAACUCAGGGCUUAACCCUGAGCCUGCUUCCGAUACGGGCAGACUAGAGGUAUGCAGGGGAGAAUGGAAUUCCUGGUGUAGCGGUGAAAUGCGCAGAUAUCAGGAAGAACACCCGUGGCGAAGGCGGUUCUCUGGAACGCAACUGACGCUGAGACGCGAAAGCGUGGGGAGCAAACAGG
rnacentral:rRNA from 1 species